GUUGAACGCUGGCGGCGUGCCUAAUACAUGCAAGUCGAGCGGCAGCACGGUCUUCGGACUGGUGGCGAGCGGCGGACGGCUGAGUAACGCGUAGGAACAUGCCCUAAAGUGAGGAAUAACUGCCCGAAAGGGUGGCUAAUGCCGCAUGUGCUCUUCGGAGUAAAGCUUUAUGCGCUUUAGGAGUGGCCUGCGUCCGAUUAGCUAGUUGGUGAGGUAAAUGCUCACCAAGGCGACGAUCGGUAGCUGGUCUGAGAGGAUGAUCAGCCAGACUGGAACUGAGAACGGUCCAGACUCCUACGGGAGGCAGCAGUAGGGAAUUUUCCACAAUGGGCGAGAGCCUGAUGGAGCAACGCCGCGUGCAGGAUGAAUGCCUUCGGGUUGUAAACUGCUUUUAUGUGCGAAGAAUUUGACUGUAACACAUGAAUAAGGAUCGGCUAACUACGUGCCAGCAGCCGCGGUAAGAC
rnacentral:rRNA from 1 species